rnacentral:rRNA from 1 species
GAUGAACGCUAGCGACAGGCUUAACACAUGCAAGUCGAGGGGCAUCAUGAGGUAGCAAUACCUUAAUGGCGACCGGCGCACGGGUGAGUAACGCGUAUGCAACCUGCCCGAUACCGGGGUAUAGCCCAUGGAAACGUGGAUUAACACCCCAUAGUACUUUUAUCCUGCCUGGGAUGGGAGUUAAAUGUUCAAGGUAUCGGAUGGGCAUGCGUCCUAUUAGUUAGUUGGCGGGGUAACAGCCCACCAAGACAAUGAUAGGUAGGGGUUCCGAGAGGAAGGUCCCCAACAUUGGAACUGAGACACGGUCCAAACUCCUACGGGAGGCAGCAGUGAGGAAUAUUGGUCAAUGGACGUAAGUCUGAACCAGCCAAGUCGCGUGAGGGAAGACUGCCCUAUGGGUUGUAAACCUCUUUUAUAAGGGAAUAAAGUGAGCCUCGUGAGGCUUUUUGCAUGUACCUUAUGAAUAAGGACCGGCUAACUCCGUGCCAGCCGCCGCCGUAA